UGGGGAAUAUUGCACAAUGGGCGCAAGCCUGAUGCAGCCAUGCCGCGUGUGUGAAGAAGGCCUUCGGUUGUAAAGCACUUUCAGCGAGGAGGAAGGUGGUGAGCUUAAUACGCUCAUCAAUUGACGUUACUCGCAGAAGAAGCACCGGCUAACUCCGUGCCAGCAGCCGCGGUAAUACGGAGGGUGCAAGCGUUAAUCGGAAUUACUGGGCGUAAAGCGCACGCAGGCGGUUUGUUAAGUCAGAUGUGAAAUCCCCGGGCUCAACCUGGGAACUGCAUUUGAAACUGGCAAGCUAGAGUCUCGUAGAGGGGGGUAGAAUUCCAGGUGUAGCGGUGAAAUGCGUAGAGAUCUGGAGGAAUACCGGUGGCGAAGGCGGCCCCCUGGACGAAGACUGACGCUCAGGUGCGAAAGCGUGGGGCAGCAAACAGGAUUAGAUACCCUGGUAGUCCACGCUGUAAACGAUGUCGAUUUUGGAGGUUAGUGCCCUUGAGGCGUGGCUUCCGGAGCUAACGCGUUAAAUCGACCGCCUGGGGAGUACGGCCGCAAGGUUAAAACUU
rnacentral:rRNA from 1 species